UCCAGCCUGGGCAACAGAGUGAGACUCUGCCUCAAAAUAAAUAAAUAAAUAAAAUUUAAAAAUAAAAUAAAAUUGAGAAAAUUCCUUUAGUUUUCUUCUCCUCUGUAUUGGGAAAAUGAUGAAUUUCAAAUGAAUGUAGUAGCUGGAUACUUCUGUUUCGCCAAUGAAGGACAUUCUGUGGAGCAUGGCUUGUGCUAGCACAGUUCCUUGUGCAUGUCGUAGUAGCUACUAAAUGAGGGAUGGUUGUUUUAGGAAUAUGACAGCAUUCAGAGUGCCAGAGAAACCUUGUUGAUUGGGCAGGAUGGUGUGUAGUGUGGGGUGUUCAGUUUUGUGAUUUCUUCUCACAUUCUAUAGUGAUAUUCCAAUUCUCUCUAUAUAAAAUUUUAAGGAAUUCAUCUGUUUUAUAAGUCGAAGGGUACUUUCCUUAGACUGUAAUGAAUUUUUAAUGAAUAAACUUAUGUUACCACUUAAGAAAAAAACAUGGCUAAAGUAAGUAUGAACCAUAUGGAAAUUAGGUUGGGUCAUCUGAGAUCUUUAAAACUUUGCAGUUGGCUUUAGAGAUUUAAAAAUCAUAGUUGUACAUUUUGAAAUCUCUUUAUUUAAACAGUAAGAUGCUGAAAAGACAAAUACCUUUUGGGAAGCCAAUCAUAUCCUAUUGUGAAUUUUAGUGCAAGAAGUAAAAUUUUUUAGUUCUUUCACUGUGAAUUCAUUUGAAGCCGUAUAAUCGCUGUGAGCCUCCUAAUGUUUUUUCCUUGCCUGAGGGUUCACUUUCUCCCUACACUGCUACCUCCAGCCAGGAAUACUGUUUUAGGCUUACCUGCAUUUUGGCUUUAGUGUCUAGCAGUGUUUCCCUUUCACUCUUUCGGGAAAUUUUCUGAUUACUAGAGUAACAACUUAAACUAUAACCCAAUUAUUGAGUACUUGCUAUUGCCAGGUACUUUACUGACAUUAUCAUUAAGCUUUCUAACAGCUCUGUGAAGGGCUAUUAAAUAGAGCUCUUUUCCAUUGCCAGGGGCAGACACACAACUCACAUUAGCUUAAGGAAAAAUGGGUAUUUUGAAGGGUAGUGGUGGAGCUGGCUUCACAGAUGUUAUCAGGAAUCUUUCUCAUUUCUACAGUCUCUCACCUUUUGCAGAUAGAUACUCUCUACGACUUGAAAGCACUACACAGACAGCUCCAGGCUUACUUCAGUCCAACUGAGCAACUCCUCUCCAUGUCUCAAGAACAAGACAUUGUCUUUGCUUGUAUAAUUGACCAUUUCUAGACUGAUUAAUCAUUGUAGUCAGAGGGGAUGAGGUACUCUUAUUUGGCUAAGACUGCAUCACAUGUCCUUACCCCUUUGAGCUUUACCAAAGCCAUACAGAAUGGCGCUGAAGGUAAUUCCCCAAAGGGAAAGAGGGAAGGGAUGCUGGGCAGGUAGAUGCUGGGUAGUGCUAUCACUACCCUAUUUUACAGAUAAGGUAAAUGAGACUUAGGAAUGUAAAGGAGCUCCUUCAACGUCACAAAAAUAGUAAAUGAUAUAUAUGAACCACAAUCUUUUGGAUUCAGGCAUCGCAUUAUUAUCUGGUAAAAAAUGGCUGCUGCUCUUUACCCUUAACCCCUUUCUUGGCAGCAUGUGUUCCUAAUUCUCCCAAUUCUUUUCACUUUUUAUGGAGAGAGAAAUGAACCAGGGAAGAGAAUGAAGGGAAAUACCACCCCCCUCUUUUUUUGGUCAAUAAUAAUGAGGAACAGAGUAUGUGUGAAUCCUAAAAUUGAUGGGACAGCAUUGUCUCAUUGUAGACUAGGUGUUUGGCAGGGAGAGGGUGUGGCAGGGAAAUGCAACCAACCUAUAACUACUAAACCAGUUGGGGGAAGGAGAUAACCUGGGUAUUCAAUUUUCCUAUUUUGUCUCAUUACUAGUAUCACAUUCCUUUUCUCCUGCUUAUUAUGGCAAAAUGUACAGCUUUUCAGCACCAUGUAUGUUAAAUAGGCUCUUGUGAACUGGCCUAGGAACCUAAUUACUGUUAUAGUACAGUUUCUGUGGGAAAAUGAGAUCUAGAUGCAAUAAGCUUUGGGAAAUAUACCCAAUAUGUAAGUUAGGGAUUAUCUGAUCAGUUAUCUAAAAAAGUCAGGAUCUUCAUUCUCUGGAGUGUGGCUGUGUUAGGGAAGUGAGAAAGGGUGAAUUGGGAGAUUAACUCUGAAGAAAAGGAAAUAAAGAUGUCAAAGGCAAACUUUGCUUGUUCUGUGUUUUAUCCAAGUCUCUCAUGGUGUAAUUACCAUUGACUUCUUAAAAUGAUCUCAGAUUCUCCUUUAGGUUACUGUUGUAAGUUACCAUCAUCUGGCAUAUUUCAUAUUAAUAAAUAUUUUCAUUUUUAAUGAUGUUAAAAUUUAUGGCUAAAAUGGGUCUUUUAUUCAUAGGAUGAUUUAUUCAUGAUGUGGCGCUUCACCAUUGGAGGGUAAUUGAAAGUUGGCCAUGUAAGAAAGGAGUAAGUGAGAAAAUAGAAAGUUCCUGGUAAAAUGCUACAUGUAAUGGACACUCAGUGUUACUGAGCCCUCAUUCUUAUCUCCUUACUGUUCCACUAGUGGCAGAGUCUUUUGUUUUCAUCUUGUUUUCUAUGAGACAUAUUUGGUGAUAAUACAAUUCAUAAGAUAUGCUCACUUUGUUAAUGUUGAGCCCCUCUAUUCAAUAUUUUAUUUUUAUUUUUAGAGAUGGGGUUUUGCUCUGUUGCCCAGGCAGGAGUACAGUGGCACAAUCAGCUCAUAGCACCCUUGAACUCCUGGGUUCACGUGAUCCUCCUGCCUCAGCCUCCUGAGUAGCUGUGACUAUGGGUGUGCAUCACCACACCUGGCUAAUUUAAAACAAUUUUUUGUAGAGAUGGCAUCUCACUUUGUUGUCUAGGCUGGUCUCUAACUCCUGGGCUCAAGUAGUCCUUCUGCCUCAGCCUCCCAAAACAUUGGGAUUACAGGUGUGAGCCGCUGCACCUGGCCCUAUUUAAUAUUUUAAAGUUUCAACACUUUAUUUUAGAGAAUGGAAUUCAAUGUGGAAGGCUCUAUUCCAAAACAUUUUUU
rnacentral:lncRNA from 1 species